GGGGUAGAAACAGGAAGCUGCUGACCACAGGAGGGAGAGAGGGCACAGGGCUGACCACAGGAUCACAGGCAGCAGGAAGGGACAGACCAGGGUCACCAGAGAGAGGUGUUUUGCUUGUAUAUAUGUCUCUGUACCACACGUGUGCCUAGUGCCCUCCGUGGCUGGAAGAAGGCAUCAGAUCCCCUGGAACUGUUAGAGAUAGUUGUGAAAUGCCAUCUGAGUGCUGGGAAUUGGACCUAGAUCCUCUGGAAAAGCAGCCUGUGCUCUAAACCACUGAGCUAUCUUUCCAGACCUGAAAAUGUGGGUUUUCAGGCCACAAGCAGUACAGUGAUGUGGGACAAGCAGACCUGGGAAGAGGAGGAAAGAAAAGAAUGUCUGGAGAGAUGGAUGCCAGUGGGGGAGACCCUGGCACCCAGAAGGCUACAGAGCAAGAACAUCUCAGCCUUGAAGUGUCCUGUCCUGGGGAUGCAGCCACCUACUGCAGCUGGCCUAGCCAGACAAGACUCCCCUGGAGUACUGGGCCACUAAGAUUCCAGAUGUGGGACCUGCUCUCUAUCCUCAGAUAAUAAUGAAUAAAUGGCUCUGAGAGGUCCUCACAAAAUGAAAAUGAGGGAAAAGAAGAUUAGAGACAUGAAGAGGGGGGGUACAAAAUGGAUCUCUAAUCCUGCACCCUCCCUGGCCCACUGAAGCCCCAAGCACAAUGCACUCGACCUCAGGUGGGCUCUGUGUCUUGGUUUCUUGACUCUGGAAACCUUCUCAGGUUUGUUCAGUCACCAAUACCUUACAUGGCAGCGAUACCAGGGCCCUUAAGAAGAGCUAGCUCCUGGUUUAUUGAGAAAACAGACCUGAGCCCUGUGAUAAGGCAGUGGGUAGCCUUGGCAAGGAGCUUGGGGCUGCAGAGGACCCCCCUGGCCACAGUCAGAGAGGAGUACAGCCCCAGCCUGGACUCCCGUCCCCACCUUUGUCUCCACCUCCCCCCACCCGCCACAGUCAGGGAGGAGAGCACAUGUACAGCCCCAGCCUGGACUCCCGUUCCCACCUUUGUCUCCAAGAUGCUAACCAUCUACAGAACUUGGCUUCCUCAGAGGUAAAAUAGGGUCUGGGAAAGACAGGGGGACAGGGAGGAAAUUAAUCUUAGCCCCAAAUUGGUCCCCAGCAAUGUUAGGGACUAAGCAGCCUUCCAGUCUGCCAAGUUAUUGCAAUGGGGAAUAUCUAGGGUAGGGCUGAGUUUGAAUCUGCAAAAAAUCACCCUGUGCUCAAGGAUCUCACUCAAAGAAAUAAAAUUGCAGUGUCCCCAUAAGUCUAAGAAAUGUCUGGUCCCCGGGACUGGAGAGAUGGCUCAGCGGUUAA